AAACCAGCACCUCAAGUGGUCAGGAGGUUUAUUGGGCCUAAAGCAUCCGUAGCCUGAUCUAUAAGUUUCCGGUUAAAUCCACAUGCUCAACAUUUGGGCUGCCGGAAAAACUGUAGAUCUAGGGAGUGGGAGAGGAAGACGGUACUCGGUAGGAAGGGGUAAAAUCCUUUGAUCUAUUGAUGACCACCAGUGGCGAAGGCGGUCUACCAGAACACGUUCGACGGUGAGGGAUGAAAGCUGGGGGAGCAAACCGGAUUAGAAACCCGGGUAGUCC
rnacentral:rRNA from 1 species